rnacentral:rRNA from 1 species
UACGGGGGGUGCGAGCGUUGUCCGGAAUCACUGGGCGUAAAGGGCGCGUAGGUGGUUUGGUAAGGGUGUGGUGAAAGCCCGGGGCUCAACCCCGGGUCUGCCGUGCCGACUGUCAAACUCGAGGGCUGUAGAGGCAGACGGAAUUCCGGGUGUAGCGGUGGAAUGCGUAGAGAUCCGGAGGAAGACCGGUGGCGAAGGCGGUCUGCUGGGCAGUUUCUGACACUGAGGCGCGACAGCGUGGGGAGCAAACAGG